UCCCUGGUGGCUUAGACGGUAAAGAAUCUGCCUGCAAUGCAGAAGGCCCAGGUUUGAUCCCUAGGUUGGGAA
rnacentral:tRNA from 1 species